rnacentral:rRNA from 1 species
AUAGUGUCGUGAUUGUAAUUCAACCUACUACGAGAGGAACCGUUGAUUCGCACAAUUGGUAGUUGCGCUUGGUUGAAAAGUCAGUGGUGCGAAGCUACCAUGCGAUGGAUUAUAUCUGAAUGCAUCUAAAUCAGAAUCCGGGCCAGAAUUGAUGCAUGUGCCUGCUGCUUGAUUGACGUCCUAUAGUAGGGGUUUUAGCCCCCAAGGGCAUGUGUCAUAGGCCAAGCCAACGCGGGGGAUGCGCCGCGAGGGCCGCCUUGAAGUACAAAUCCUAUCGAGCGGCGGGUUGAAUCCUUUGUAGAUGACUUAAAUACGCGGCGAAGUAUUAUAAGUGGCACAAUACCCUUGCUGCCGCGAUCCACUAAGAUUCAAUCAUAUGUCGCUUCUAUUU